rnacentral:rRNA from 1 species
GCGGCGGACGGGUGAGUAACACGUGGGCAACCUGCCCGCAAGACCGGGAUAACUCCGGGAAACCGGAGCUAAUACCGGAUAACACCGAAGACCGCAUGGUCUUUGGUUGAAAGGCGGCCUUUGGCUGUCACUUGCGGAUGGGCCCGCGGCGCAUUAGCUAGUUGGUGAGGUAACGGCUCACCAAGGCGACGAUGCGUAGCCGGCCUGAGAGGGUGACCGGCCACACUGGGACUGAGACACGGCCCAGACUCCUACGGGAGGCAGCAGUAGGGAAUCUUCCGCAAUGGGCGAAAGCCUGACGGAGCGACGCCGCGUGAGCGAAGAAGGCCUUCGGGUCGUAAAGCUCUGUUGUGAGGGAAGAAGGAGCGCCGUUCGAAGAGGGCGGCGCGGUGACGGUACCUCACGAGGAAGCCCCGGCUAACUACGUGCCAACAGCCGCGGUAAUAC